rnacentral:piRNA from 1 species
UCCUGAACUGAUGCCAGAUUGAGUCUGC